CCAACUAUAAAUUUACACACAAGAAUAAGUAAACUUUUGGAUAAAUAACUCAGUAUUCAACCAAGUGCACCAUUUAGCCUUUUUGGAGCAUGAGUGCCAACAAAUAAUGUUGGACCAAUUCCAGAAAAUACAUUCAUACAUAGAAUAAGCAGUUUGGCGGAGAGACCAUGGAUUCACGUGCCCCAUAAUCUAGCUUGUAAAUCCGCCUGUCUUUUUUUUUUUUUUGUCAAAAGAGAAGCUAAUAUAUAAAUUUAAAUAUUGUUCGUACAACCUGAGCAUCAAAGUUGCCAAGGUUAGCCAAAACAUUAGAAACAUCACUAGAGAUAGAUCUACGAUAUGUAGCUCCAGAAAUAUCCAACAUAAGACUAGGCAAAAUAGUAGAUGGUGGUAGUACUAAAACAGUAGGACCACCAAUUUUUUCAAUUUUCAGUCCUUCCUUAGCUAGCAAGUCAUCCACUUUGUUUUGCUCCCGAAAACAGUGUCUUAAUUCCGGAUCUCCUAGCCGUUGUCUUAGUAUCCUGCAAUCAUGUAAGAUAGAUGUAUAUUGUGGGGAGUUAGUUGUGAACAUGUUAAUAAUCUCUGUUCAGUCUGUAUAGACUUCCAGGGAUGAAGGUCAUGAGCAUAAGCUAAUUUUAGACCAUGUAUAAGUGAUAUGAGCUCGCUAUAUGUAUUAUCAGAUUGAGGAAUCUGCAUCUAGUAGCCUAGCACCAAAUCCCCUUUACUAUUUCGGAAAACUCCGCCAAAACCUCCUGCUCCAUCUUUAAAUGCUCCAUCAAUAUUGAGUUUGAAGUGAUUUUGUUUAGGAGGAUGUCAUUUGACAUGGAGAGCUAGAGGUGGUUUGGUACUACUGUCAUUUCUUGCUAGAGCAACAUACUCUGUAGCUUGCAUAUGUACCAGAUCAAACGAAGCAGAUCUUGUGAGGUUAUUGUAGAGGUUGUUAUUUCUAGUGAUCCAAAUAUGCCAAAGACAAAAGGAAAAUAAUUAUUUCCAUGUGUAAAUUGCAUUUGGUAAUAUAAGAGGGAGAGGUUUGCAAUAAUGUCCAAUCAGUGUUGGUGAUUGCCAAGAAUGUGAAUACUAGUAAUACCAAGUCUUUGCCAAAAGGAUUUAACAACCAUACAAUCAAUGAAAAUAUGAUCAAGGGUUUCUUCACAAGAUCUGCAGGUGGAACAUUGUCUAUCAAUAUUAAUGCCUAUUGAGUUUAAGUAGACUCGGGUUGGUAAACGAUUAUGAUAACAUAACCAAAUGAAGAAUUUUAUUUUAUUUGGUGUCUUCAGCUUCCAAAUCCAAGAGAAGUUAAGAGUGUUUGGGUGGCUAGAUUUGAUAAGCAUCCGAGCAGUUUUUGAGCUGAAACAGUCGGUGUUUGUUAGUUUCCAAAUUGGCCUAUCUUCAUGUUCAGGGAAUAAUGGUAGUUGAACAUUAUUAAUAGUGUUAAGUAAGUGGGAUGGUAGGUCAAAAGAGAUGUUUUUGAGGUUCCAAGAUCCAUUUUCAUUAAGGUCUGCAAUAUUUAGAGCAUGUUCAGUAGCAGUUAAAGGACCCUUUAUAGUAGCUCUAAGAGUGGGAGUAUUGGGUAACCAUUGGGUAUGCCAAAAUUAAUGCUUUUACCAUUUCCAAUGAUCCAACGGAUACCUUGGUUACAAAAGUACCAUCCCUUAAGAAUGUUGCUCCAGAUAAUUGAAUCAGUUCUACAUUGAUGGGUUUAAGUUUGGGACUGGAAGUUUCUAUGAGAGCAACAAUAUUUAUUAAUGAGAACUCGGGCCCAAAGGGAAUGAGGGUUUUUAAAAAGUCGCCAUGCAAGGUUCGUGUGAAAGUUAAAUUCUUGUUUUCAGCACUGACUAUACCUAGUCCACCAUUAUUCUUAAUAUCAGUCAAGGUAUGCCAAUUAACAAGAUGAAGCUUGGAUUUUUCAGCAGUAGAUCCCCAUAUGAAAUUACGCUGGGUUCGAUCAAUGAGUCUAUUGAUAUUUUUGGGGAGUUUGUGGUAUUGCAUAAUAUGAUUUGGAAUACUAUUAAGAGUAGAGGUAGCAAGGGUAGUGCGACCUGCCAUAUUAAGGAAUCUAGUCUUCCAACCUGUAAGCUUCUUAUUCAUGUUAUCAAUGACGAAUUGGAAGUCUCUUGACUUUGGUUUUUGGUGGAAAAUGGGAAACCUAAGUAUCUACCGAAAGUGGAACUUUGCUUAACUUGGAGGGCAUGAGAGAGAAUUUUCCUGAUGGUGGGAUCACAAUUUGCAUAGAAAAGGACUUUUGAUUUAUCAAGGUUUAUUUUUUGACCCGAUAACGCACAAAAAGAAUUCAUAGUUCUCAAAAUGGAGUCACAAUUCUUGUUGUCCGCGCGGACCAUCAGGGUUAGAUCAUCUGCAAAGAAAAGAUGGGAUAACUGGGGACCAGUUCUACUAAUUUUGAUAGGGUUCCAAUAACCUAGAUCCACCUCAUGACAAAUAUUUUUAGAGAGCAUUUCUAAGUAGAGUAUAAAGAUGUGGGGAGACAUGGGGUCUCCUUGUCUGAUGUCUCUACCAGGGAAAAAAAAUUCAAUUUUACUUCCAUUGAUAAGGAUAGACAUAGUGGAGGAAGUAAUACAAGACAUAAUAAGUUUAAUAAAAUUCGGAGGGAAUUAGAAAAAAGUGACUGUGCGAUGUAUGAAAGACCAUUCCAAUCGAUCAAAAGCUUUUUCAAAGUCGACUUUAAGAAUCAUGUUAGCUUUUGAACCUUUCAUCUUUUGGUAGUGGUUCACAACUUCUUGAACAAUGAUCGCACAGUCGGCCGCUCUUCUAUUCUUCAGGAAACUAGCUUGAUAGGGACCAAUAAGCUUGUCUAAAAGGGGUUUAAUACGGUUUACAAUAACUUUUGUGACAAGUUUAUAGACAGUAUUGCAAAGGCCAAUGGGUCUAAUGUUCUUUAUAUUAUUGCCAUUUUCAAAUUUUGGAAUGAGACACAAAUAAGUACGGUUUAGGUCCGGAGGGAUGGUACUAGUGGUGAAAAUAUUAUGGCAGAGUGAUAGGACCGAGGGACCCAUAAUUUUUCAGUAUUUCUUAUAGAAAAAAGGGUGUAAACCAUCUGGUCUAGGUGCUUUGAAGGGCUUAAAAGAUUUUAAAGCCUCUAAGAUUUCAUGGUCACAGAGGUCUUUUCCUAAAUGUAUUUUGUCUGAAUCUGUGAGAAUGAAAAAAGGAUAAUGAUUGUAGUGAUUAGCGGCGUCAAGAUGAAUAGUGGAAUACAAGGCUUUGAAGUAAUUGAAAAUAUGAGCAUCUAUAUCAGCUUGGUCAUAAAUCAAGUUACCAGUAUCAUCUAUAAAAGAGAUAAUACAGUUUCUUCUUCUUCGAUUAAUGGUCGAGAUGUGAAAAAAUUUAGCAUUUGCAUCUCCAUCAGUAAUCCAGUUUAUACGAGAUUUCAGCUUCCAGAACUCUUCUUCCAACCUAAGGAUAUCAUUGAAGUCUUUUAUAAGAGAGAUUUCAAGAUUUUGGAGGAAUGAGCUAGUGGCAUACUUGGCAGAAUUUUGUAUACCAGUAAGUCUAGCUAAAAUAGUCUUUAUUUUUAGUAAAAAUAUUUUCAAAAACAUUCUUGUUCCACCAGGUAAUGUUAUAUUGAAAAAGAGAGGUAGCUUGUAGGAGGUCAAGAUUACUAUUCCAGGAGUCAUUAAUAAUAUUAACAAGAUCAGGAUGUGAGCACCACAUGGUUUCAAAUCUGAAGGGCUUGCUAAUACUAGUAAUGUUAUUACCAUGGAGAUGUAAAAAUAAAGGGUUGUGAUCAGAAUAAGUUUUAGGUAGAUGACUAACAUGAGCGUCUGGGAAAAUAUUAAGCCAAUCAUCAUUAAUGAAUCAUCUGUCAAGUCUUUCAAGAAUCAAAUCAUUUCGAGUUCGUUUAUUAGACCAAGUAUACUUGCUCCCCUUAAAACCUAGAUCAAAUAAGUUGCAGUUGUUUAUACAUGACCAAAAAAUGUCUGCUCUAUUAUUAUUAACAUGUCUACCACCCCAUUUAUCAUUGGCAGUGAGCACCUCGUUGAAAUCACCACCAAUAAGCCAAGGACCAUUAUAAGUUUCACGAAGAGCUAUAAGAUUGUCCCACAGAAUUUUGCGACAAUUAAAUAAGUUACUAGCAUAAAUCACAGAAAAGAGCCAGGGUUGAGUUGAGGAAUAUACCUUAACCAUUGCAUGAAUUUCUUGGCUAGUAACGGUGAUUCUGUCAACAGUGAUAAGUCUACUAGACCAAAGGAACACAAUACCACCCGAGCGACCAUUAGCUGGCACUUCAAUCAUAUCCGUGAAAAGGAAAUCAUCUCUAAGGGUUUGGUGAUUCUCCAUCUUGGUCUCUAGGAGAGCAACUAGGCAAGGCUUAUGAUAGUCUAACAUAAAUCCAAAAUUUCUUCUAAAAUCAGAAUUAUUGGAACCUCUACAGUUCCAUAUGACAAAGUUAGUGUGGCUAUUCAUUGGGGCUAAUGGAUUGUUUAGGUUCACAGGGCUCACAAGUAAUAAGCCCCGACAUGGUUUCAUUUGCAUGAUGGAAACAUGCUUUUUUCCUUGGUUCCCCCUGAAGAUUUGAGUGCUUUGAACUCAGCAAGUGAGGCGUUCGGUGAGUUGUACUCCUAUGUUAUCUCUCAUUUUUGAGUCACUACUAGUGUUGGUGGUUGUGACAUGGACGCCAGCACUAGUACGCUUAGUUGAGCUCCUGUUGGUAGUAAUUGAUGUAGAGUUGGUGGAUUUAAAGUGAAGAAAGUGUGAGAUGGUUCCAGAUUACUUGUUGGGACAGUGGAACUGCUUGGAGAAUCUGCAAUAGAUGAAGGUUUGGUAGAUUGAUCUAGUUUCUCUAUUGUGUUAGAUUGAGAGUGGGUCACAAGAUUGUGGAGAAGUGGGUGUUCGUGUGAAAGGCUAGGGGUUUGCCCCACAAUUGAAGCCUUAGGUUUGAGGCUUCUUCUUGUGGAUUGUCGUUGUGUAAUUUGAUAGGAUAUCAAGGGUUUUUUAUCAGCACUACUAUUGGUAGAUUUACCAAGUUGAAAAGUCAGAUUAGAAUUCUUUAUGGUUAUGGAAUUGAUAUCAUUCUCAUUGGAAUCCUCUUGGUUCAUUAGUAUAGAAGAACUGGGUGAAGUGUGUACGGGAAUGUCUAUAGUUAUUUCAGGGGUGAGAAUUUGUGUCUCAGGUUGAGCUUCGAACAUAUUAGGUAAAGAAAUUACAGUGGGAGUGGUUAAUUUACCUAGACGUUCACUUUGGUGAACAUCUAUAUGUUGCUUCCCAGUAUGGACCAAGUUUGAAACAUCAGAAGAAGAAUUUUCGUCCAUGAUUUUGUCUCCAAUAAUAGUUGAUGCAAGGCUAUCAUUGUGAGCAUUGCCAGAAUUGUUUUUAGAAAUGUGAAUGUUAGCGGUCUGGGCGCUCUCUAUUUUAUCAAAACCAAUUGACUGAUUGGGAGUAGGGGCCAUUAAAGGAGUUAGGUUAGAUUGUAGCUUGGGUUUUAUUAACUCUAAGUUAAGUUGCCCCUGAUUAGCGGCUUCACUGUCGCUUGCUAGCGGCUUAGUCAGACCAUUUUCAUGAUUGUCAACGGCAGUCAAAUUAAGGUGAGCAUAUGAGACAGAUUUUGAAGAAGAGUUAGAAUUAGAUUUUUCUUUGUAACUAAAAGUUUUUGAAUCAAGAUACUUACCAGUGGUGGCAUGAUAUAAUUUAACAUUUAUACCUUGUUCCGUUUCUUUUCUCACCGGUAGUGGGAGACCGGGAGCCGUCGCUUUAGAGCUACUUCUAUUUCUUCGUCGGGGGAAAACAACAGUUUGUCAGGUGUCAUCCUCGUUGUAAAUAAGUGGUGGGGUUUGGGUUCCCCCUACCAUGUUGAGGUUUAGUGCUUCGUUCCUACUCGAUCUCCGUUGGUGAAGUUGUUGUCUUAUAGGCACAAUUAAGAUGAAUAUGCCCUAAUCUGCCACAUGUUUUACAUAAAAUAUCUGCUCCUUCAUAGAAAAGAUUAUGUUUGUGCCUUCCGAUAGUGAUGUGUGUUUUGACUGGUAUUCCAAUUGGGACCUCAACACAAAUACGAGCAUAUCUGCCCCUUAAAGUUGCAGAUGUACAAGUAUCAAUUUUAAGAAGACGACCCAACUUGCUUCCAAUCUUAGAUAAGAUAAUUGUGUCAUAGAACUCAGUAGGGAGUUCUGGUAAACGGACCCAAAUAGUCAAGGAGGUGACUUCUGCCUCAGAGGCAACAAAAUUUGGAUGCCACUUUUUAAUUGACAGAAAGAAACCAUUGAUAAACCAAGGCCCGUUGUGAAGUGCUUUUUGCAUACUUUCUUCCUUGAGAAAUUUGACUAUGAAGUAGUCAAAUCUUGAAUCGAUUAACAAUAACUCUUCUGAAACCUUCCACAGAUCUUUCAAUUUUGAUUUAAGAUAUUGGUGGCUCAUUCGUUUUCCGAAUAAUUUGAUAAUAACUGAAAAUUUCCAAGGGAGGUACAGUCUGUUCUUGUCUUCCAGGGAUAAUGGUAUGGUGUUAUCAUCGUUAAGUUCGUCACCUGAAUCUUUCUCCAUCUGCAACUCUUUGGUACAGAACACUGUAUCCGCGUUUCUUGACCCAACAGUGCAGGAAAAGGGGGUAAUUAGUUUUUGUUUAAAAGAAGGUUGGGUUGGUGUCUCAUCUAGAUUCAUAAAGGUUAAAUCAGGUGGUUUUGGUGGUAUCCACAGCUGAGAUACAGCAUAGGAGGGUGGGGGGGGGGGGGGGGUCAUAGUAGUUAUCGAAGGGAAGGGUUGGAAAGUGAAAAUGGAAAGGAAGGGAAAGUAAACCCGCCUGCCAUAAUGGCAAAGAAAUGCACAUAGAGAGCUAUUCAAUCUCGCGACCUAUCUCCAAAUCUAUAGGCUUCAAGUCCAAUACUGUAAGAGAGCAUAUUAAUAAAGAAAAGAUGUCAAUUUUUGAACUGAAAUAAAUUUAAAAACACAGAGAAAAGCAAUUACUAGACAGACAACUAUAAAUUUACACACAAGAAUAAGUAAAUGCAAAGGACAAAAGAACUUCAAGUUCAUAGUUAAGUAUUAGCCAAAAAUCUCCACACUGAAACCUGAUUAUAGACGACAUAACUAAACUUCAAUGUAAGGAUUCAGUAAACAAAAACCUUCUUCAUUCUAGGCCUCCCCUCUGUGGACUCGACAAGACAAAAGUUAGUUGGGCACCAAUCAUUAAAACGAAGAAAGAACUCAUAUAUUAUAAAUAAAUUUCUCUGAAUUAAUUCAUCAUCAUAGCACUUUUUUUUUUUAGAAGGAUUCAUCAUCAUAGCACGUAACUGUGCAAAGAAAACUGUUAGCCACUUGUACAAUGCAAACAUCCUAGCAGCAGUCCAAGUAGUUACUGAAUGAGGAAAGGACAGGCAACUUGUAGCACAAUUAAAUGGCUGUUUGGUUUAGAAAUAAGUUAUGUAGGGAUUAGUGAUGCCGAGAUUGUAAUGCAGGAAUUAGUAAUGCAAUGAUUGUCAUGCAGGAUAUUAAAUAUCUUCAAAUCCCAAUCAAACAUCGUAUAAACUAAUAUUAAUUUUUAUGAGGAGAAUAUAUCUCCUAAAAGCCCAACCAAAAGACCCCUAAGUGGACUUACUAGUAAUUUGCAAACCAGUUUGGGAUCAUUAAGGUGGUGAAGCCAGUAUUAAAUUCAGAAACACAAAGUGAACUUCAUCAUGGUACUGAUUGCAUCUAGCAUUUUAUCACUUACGCCAAAAGACGACAAGGAUGACAUAAGCCUUUUUUUUUUGGAUGAAGUAAAGAAACUUUUAUUAAUACUGACAUCCAGAAGAUGCAUAGUUAGGAAAGCGUUAAUGACCCCUAUGCAAAACUCAAGGUGCCAAUGAAGUCCAAAAAUAGAUUUACAUCAGUCACAUCCCUCUGCUUACACCAACAAAAAAGGUUCAAGAGGCAUUUUGCUUUUAGUGCAGGGAUCGUACCAGAGGUCUCUUCAAGGCAUCUUCAUCUUGCAUUUCUUUCUCCGUGUCUAGAAAUACAGCUUGGUACUACCUGCCGUAUCUUUUUCCUUUCCUUUCUCCACUUUCCAUAGCCACCAGCUUACCAAAGCAUCCUUAGGACUGUUUGGAAUUAACCCCUUGAAUUCCACAAAUGUUUAAGACCAUGCUCCAUAUAUCUCUGGCUACCACACAGUGUAGCAGCAAAUGUUUUGCAUAGAAAGCAUCUAUUCAAAAGUUUAAAUCCUCUCUUCAACAAGUUGUCUUGCGUUAAGAAAGCUUCACACAUCAGUAUCCAGCGGAGAGAAAUUACUUUGGAGCUUUAAUUUUCCAUAUCCUUUUCCAUGGCCGGGAGUAUACAAUAUUUCAUGUUUGCCAAAACACAUUGGCAACCUUUACCAGUAAAACUUACCCCUGUAAUUCUUAUUCCAUCAGAUUCUAUCCCUCCCUCCCCCUCUGCAAAUUUCCUGUUCCAGUUUGUCUAAAGCCCUGUCAAGCAGCUGAUUUCCCAACCUAUGUUAUUCAGGACAAUAUAAGUUAGUUAAUACUCAAUACACACCAAUGUUUUGCUAAAUGAUAAGGUAUAUUAUUAAAGAUGAAUAAACACUAAGCUAGUGCAUCAAAAAAGAAAUUACAAGUUCUACAAUUCCCCCAUCAUGUCUAACAUGGCAUCUAUACCCCGUACUAGUUUGCACCAAAAAGCAAAAGGUAAAACCUUAAACUUAAGACAAAGAAUGUUUCUCUUGUUGCCUUCAAAAAUUCUAUUGUCCAACACACGCCUAGAGUACACACAAGUAUCCUGCAUAAGUUUCUUCAACGCAAAAACCUUAAAAUCUUCAGCUUUAUAACUAGUCAUAAACAUAUGGAGGUACGAAGUUAGAACACAGACGCUAACUAAGGAAACUGCUUUUUGCAAAAAGAAUACUCAGAAAACCAGCACUUCAACAGCUCGAACUUUAGUGUCAACGCCAAUUGAGGCGGUAAGACAAUAUCCUCAUCAUAACAGCUGUGUUAGACUCUCAUUGCUUCCAUCAAAGGACAGUAGACUCUCAACAUAGUUGCUCAAGAAGAAUUAUUUCUCCCAUCAUCGAUAUUGCUAUCCUAAAUUUAUGUGCUCGAUCAUACAAAAUCAAGAUUCCUGAUAUGCUACUUCAACAGACACUACCCAUUUCUUCUGAUCCCAAUAGCAUUUGAAAUAUCAUGCUUCAAAUCCACAAAAAUUCUCAGUCGCACACUCCAUUUUCCAAAAGCAGUUCAGUACCCAAACAGUAAAACAUUGAGAUUACCAAAAUCAUGACUCCUGUACCAAAACACAGCAACCCAAUCCUCUCAUAAACAGACGAGUCCAAAAAGAGAUUCAUGCACUAGCUCAUACAGGAACCAUCAAUUCACUAGAAGUUUCUUAAAUUAUGAGCCAAUAGCUUAUUUAAAAACCCAUCACUAUUACCAUAACACACAAUCCAAUUAAUAGCCUCAUCUAACUACCAGUCCCUCUAUUCCAUUUUAUGGGGUACUAUUACCAUGUGACGAGUCAAAGAGGUUCUUCUUUGAACUCGAUUUUCUAAAAUAUCUUAAAUUAUUUACUAUUGUAACUCAUACUGUUUUUAUGAAAUUUUCAAAUAUGUAAAUUUUAUUUCAAAAAAUUUGAAGAAUCUAUGUUUGAAUUCACUUAGAAUAUUAAGUAAUUUGACCAUUAUACUAUGAACCCGCCAAAUAAAAUGGAAAGGAGGGAGUAUUAUCAACCAGUAUAUCAUGGAUAUCUCUUACACUCAUUGUUUCUACAAACCGGUACUCAAACUAUAUAACUCAAUUUCACGAGGCAUUAGAUAAGUCCAUUAUUACCACAAGCAAAGCCGUAGAAGAGUAAUAAGUGAUUACAGGGGUUUUAAGCGCAAAACACAAUUAAAGUGUAGCUUAAUGAAGAAAGACAAAGAUCAAGAAAAAAAUUAAAAAAUAUAUAUAUAUACUCAAUAUGUUAUGAAAAAGGAUAACUAUAAAUGAAACAAUACUUAUUUGUACCAAAGAACUCAAAACUAAAAUUAAAUAGGAUGUAUGAAGUAAAAACCAUGUCAUUCGAGUUCAAAAAUCAUUCUAACUUGAUCUAUAUGCAAGACUUUAAUUCAGAGUUGUGACUAAUUUUCUUUCAAUAAAUUUCUAAUUCCUAUUGUUGACCACUAGUAUGUUUAUCCGUAAAGUACUUUUGUCAUCUAUUUUUGUUAUUUAGUGUUGUCCUUUUAAAAAUAGAGAUUGUUCACAUUGAGAUCUUUAUGGUGCCUUCAGGGGCGGGUGCAACUCUUCAUUACCGGGUUCAAUUGAACCUAGUACUUUCCAUAUUGUGUAUAAAUUUAUGCGUAAAAAUUCAUCAAAAUUGUAAUAAAUAGUAGAUAUGAACCCGUAGCUUCAAUAAUAUAAUGAGUUCAAUACUAUAAACCUUAAAGGUUGAACUCAUAGAGAUUAAAUCCUAGAUUCGCCCCUAGGUGCCUUCACUAAACCAUAGUAACAACAACAACAACAACAAUAAACUCAGUGUAAUCCCACAUGUGAGGUCUGGGUCACUAAACCAUAGUAAGGAGGCAAAACAUCUAAGUAGUGUUGCACCGAACUUCAGGGAAAGGCACACUUUUAACAACAUUGUAAAAACCUAUGUCAAUAGUUCCUUGCAGACAAGUUGUCCUUUCCACCUUACAGUCAUAGUUGGAUAGACUUGAUAAUAUAUACUCUUUUAUAGGCUAACUAAAAAGCCCUCGUUUGAGUGGGUCACUAAACCAUAGUAAGGAGGCAAAACAUCUAAGUAGUGUUGCACCGAACUUCAGGGAAAGGCACACUUUUAACAACAUUGUAAAAACCUAUGUCAAUAGUUCCUUACAGACAAGUUGUCCUUUCCACCUUACAGUCAUAGUUGGAUAGACUUGAUAAUAUAUACUCUUUUAUAGGCUAACUAAAAAGCCCUUGUUUGAGGUUAAGGCUAGCAAUGUUUGCCUUUCAUGCGGUUUCAAAUAUUAACAUUAUCUCCUUUCGUUUUUUCUACACAAAAAUUCAUGUAAAUCAACUAGUGAGACAAAGGCAUGACAUAGAUAGUAGACAGUCAACUCUCUUACCGUCAGUUACUGCGAUUGAUUGGGGAGAGAGUGCUAGUCUAACUGCCGGUACGGGUACGCUAAUAGGUAGAGGAUCUUCCAAUCCUAGAAUAAGAAAGUAAUUGUCUGCCGUACUGGUUGGUUCAUUGGAUGUGUCAAUCUGCUAUCUAUAACUUGUUAGGUUAAAUAUUUUUUUGUUGCUAAAUGUUAUGGCCUAAAUGUUGAACUAUUGACCCUACUUGUUCGGAUGGGUGUUCACUCCAAAGUGUUCACGGACAACAUGCAUACAUCCAUAAGUAACUUAGCGCAACAUGAAAAAUUUCAUUAAGAGGAUUCAGCGAAGAAAAGACAAACGUGUCAACAGCAUCAACAAGUGUAUUUGAGAGAUUGUCCUUCGUCUGAGAAGUGUAUGCAUGAGUUCGUUGAGUUGAAACUAGCAGGCAAGAAUAAAAGUUGUUCUUGUGUUUAAGCAUGUACGUAUCAUGUUAGAUAUUUUUGUUUAAUCCGAGAAACUAAGCUUCAUAUACUGUUAGGGAAGAGGUAAUUUUGUCAAAAAUAUAGUAAAAGUAUAUAAUUUUAUUAUUCACUAAACAUGAACAAGAUCCAAUUUAAGUUUAAUAACCAUAAAAAAUAUCGUUGGUCCCUUAGGGUUUAAUUUCGUCUCAUAUUUUCCCCUCCCGCUAACAACUACCCAGCUUGGCUUUGAGAAUUGCCCAUGUAGACAAACAUCAAAUCCAUGUUUAUCGCAAAGUUAUCAAAUUGGUUAAUAUAUACCCUCUACAACAAUAUGAAGCAUGCCCCUAAACAACUGAAAAUAUUAAAAUAUAUCCCUAAACAGUUGAAAAGGUGACCGAUUUUUAUGCGGUAGAAACCUAUUAGUAAGAGGGGCAUGCUUGAGAUAAAAGAUGCGCGGGGGAGGGGGGGGNNNNNNNNNNNNNNNAAUGAAGGGAGAAAGUUCAAAUCAACCCCAAAAGUAUUCAAUUUUCCUUCGUUUACCUUUUGAUCCAUACCCACCCCCCCCCCCCCCGUUUAAUUUCGUCUCAUAUUUCCCCCUCCCCGCUAACAACUACCCAGCUUGGCUUUGACAGUUGCCUAUGUAGACAAACAUCAUAUCCAAGUUUAUCGCAAAACUAUCAAAUUGGUUAAUAUACACCCUCUACAACAAUAUGAAACAUGCCCCCGGACUAUUGAAAAUGUCAAAAUAUAUCCCUAAACAGUUGAAAAGGUCCAAUAGUAGGAUGAUGGAAACCUAUUAGUAAGAGAAGCAUAUUUGAGAUAAAAGAUAACACAGGGGUUCCUAUGAGCCGAAAGUAAAUGGAGAGCAUAUAUAGAACAAAUCACAAAUAUUAGGGGUGUAUUUGGACCUUUUAUGUAUAUUACAACAACGUAAAUUUAUUCCUUAACUACAAUGUAAGCAAGCCAAAGAAAAUUCCAAAGAAAAAGAACAGUUCAAAUUCACUUCCUUUAUUUUUUUAUGAAAUUCCAUCAUUCCUACUAUUAACAACUAAAUAAAUUUCCUCCCUAAAAGUCCAAAUUUGGUAUGUAAUAUCUUACCGAUGUAAGCAAGUAUCACUAUAUCAGCUACUUACCAACUUAUAGAAAAACCCAAUUACCAUAAGUGAUAAAAGUAUAUAUUUAGUUUAUUAUGAUUGUCAAAGGUCAACUAACAGAUAAAUGAUAUUAGGCAAGUGAUUAAUUGGACUAUUGUUUUCUUCUAAGAAACUCAAUAAGAGUUUGAACCGCAAUUACUACCCUGCUUCAAAUAAGCUAGCUCAAAAAGAAUUUCUGCUUUCUUCAUUUCCUACCUUCCAAAUGUGAGAAAAGAUUUUGAGCAAGUAAUUAAACAGCUUCCCUUUCUGGAUUAGCCAGCAUCUACUUUUCUGGUACAACUUCUUGUCUUUGCUCUAUUUACCUUGUAUAAAUAGUGCUUUCUCUUGUCUUCUUGCCAUCAACUUGCUUUUGAAGCUCUCUUCACUAGCAAUCAACUUCAAAAACCUGCUCUCACCAGCGAGCAGUCUCUCUUUCAAGAACUACCCCUCCCCCACCCAACCUUUCUUCUCAAACAAUAGAAAAGUGAGGGAAAAAAUAACAAGAUCUUCAAUUUCAUACCCCAAGAAAAAUGUCAGACUAUAUCCCUGAAGAAUUAAUGGUUCCAAUCUUCUCAAGGCUCUCACCCAAAUCUCUACUCCGAUUUAGGUGCAUAUCGCGAUCGUGGAACUCACUAAUCUCAAGCUCUGAAUUCAUAUCGCUGCACACCUACUGUAACAUUCUCCAAAAACCGCCAGCAGGUAAAAUCAUCAGAUACUUCUCACUAACUCAAAGAAAGGAAAUAUACUCUAUUCGACUCAUUGAUGUAUUAGCCGGUAUUGAAACUGAAUUCAAAAUAGGAGCCCCUUUUAAUGGCAUAGUGCGAUAUUAUUAUAGGAUCGUGGGCCUAUGCAAUGGCGUCCUCUGUUUGUCAGAUGAUUUAUUUGUAUCUGAAAAUCUUUUGGUGCUUUGGAACCCAAUGAUAGGCAGAUCUAUCACCCUCCCAAUGUCUUCUCUUGAAAACUUAGGCAACUAUAUGCUUGUUUGUGGGUUUGGCUAUGCAAUUAAAACGAGAGAUUACAAGGUCGUGAGGAUGGCCUAUGCUCGUGGUGAUGGUGGGUACUUGGUACCACCUAAAGUUGAGGUAUAUGCACUUAGUUCAGGAAUUUGGAAGGAAUUUGAUGGUUUUAUUCCAGACAAUGGUGUUAUAGAGUACUUUUGGACACAAGCUGUUGUUUGUGGGAAAGUCCACUGGACUGCAUACAAGAUAACUGGGGAGGAAAGAAGGGUGGAGAACUUGAUAAUGGUGUUUGAUCUAAAUGAUGAGAUUUUUCAGGAAAUAUCAUUACCAGAAAUUUUGGUUAAUGAACCACCUACGAAUCUGACUGCUGCGGAAUGUAGGAAAUCACUUGUUGUGUAUCAGUACAAUACACGUAUUUGGAGCAGCUGUUGUUCCAUUUGGGUAAUGAAACAGUAUGGAGACACUGAGUCAUGGAGCAUGGAAUAUAAUGUUGCACUCAACCACCAGCAACUCGACCAUCAGCGGUUUGGCAUGAUACUGGGUUUUCGUAAUGAUACUGAAAUACUGUUGACAGAGAUAUCAGGGAUGCUAACUUCAUAUAAUCCUGAGACACAAGAAAAGCUGCACCUCGAUAUUCUUGGCACUAGGUACUCUUUUUAUUUUGGCACUUACAAAGAGAGCCUUGCUUUGCUAGAUAAAGGGGAGUUACUGCCUCCACUUUAUUUAUCAUCUGAUGGGACGGAUGACAAUGAAGAUGAAGAAAAUAAUGCUGAUAAAAUGGAGCCUAAAAGGAAGGAGUUGCUGGUGCAUUUUCUUAAGCAUCAGGAUGUCAUUGCUGUUCUUGGAGCCAGAAAUAUAUGAGUUUGCCCCCAUAUUAAAUAGUAAAGAAAUGUUAUAAAUUUCAGGCCAACGUUGGCAUAAUUAUCUGCUUUAUUUCAGUCCAUCCCAAUUUCAUUUAUCAUAAGCUAUGUAUUGUUUGGUCAUCUCAGGUGUUAUGCUUGUUUUUACAACUUUAAUCAAUUUGACUGCUCCUCCAUUCGUUGUUGUAUGUUUGGUCAUUGACCACAUCAACAUGAAUGUUCAGAAUCAAAAAUCUUAGUCAAUGCAUUUUACUUGAGGUGGGGAAAGCCGUAAACCCAUGACCUUUUAGCUUUGAGAUAUUUCGGUGACAUAAAACUAUUUUGAAAGGUUAACAGUUGACAGAUGAAUAAGAAGACAUGAAUCGCACCACUAACAAAAAUGGCUCACUAAAGUAAUCAAAAUUCUUAGUUAAUCAUUACUGAAAAUCUUUGUUGAUUACUCAUAAACUUCUCAAUUAAAGAUGAGAUAAACCCACUACCAAAUUCCUGUGCUUUCAACUUUAAUCUUCUUAAGCUUCAUUCUUAAUUCCAAUAUCUGCUGCAAUAGAACAUGGCAGCAGAUUAUUAGCUUCAUUGUGUAUCUCUUUAAUACUCAAGUACACAAGUGGUAGAGGUGUCACCAUAAACCAAAACGAAAAAAUAAAAGCAAUUCCCAUAAACCAAACCAAAAGUAUCAAUUUUAUGCUAUGAUCAAAUGAUAAAACCAACAACAGAAAUUCAUGCUUCAUCAGCAGUCAGCUUGUUUUUUGCUGUGGGCAUAUAGAUAAUACGAGGUCAAAAUAUACUUGCAUUAGCAAAACUCACUAAGUUAAUGCCAAUAAGGACAGUAAUUAUCCAAAUUUAACAAAUACAAUGAUUCACAAUUUAGAAAGUCAAAGAUUACAGACUACUAUAUGUAUAUCAGCCACAAAAAUAGAAAUUUGCAAUAAUUACUUACAGAUCAGUAAAUAACUGCAGCAGCAUAAGGGAUUUUUAUUUGGGAAAGAAAAUCUAGACCAUGGGCACUCACUUUGUAGCUUCAGCAUCUGCAAGAUAGAACAUUCUUAAAAUCGAUUAUAAUCACUGGGAAACGGGUACAUGAGUUACGCACUAUAAGAAACUUGAAGUUCAAUUGCCUUCUUCGUGAAUUUGAGCAAUCGAACUUUGAGAAAAGGAAAUAGUUUUGCUUUGCUGCAGAAAAUUCUCAAGCAUCAUCCCCUUUUCAAUUAAAUGAGUUCUACUACUAUUCUAGUAGAAGUAGUAGAGAAAAGGAAAUAGUUAUACUUUGUUUCCAAAGUAGAUAAGUCUUCCAUUAGUUUGGGUACGCCUAUCACAAAAUUGUCAUCAUGAAUUAGAUUCAGUUCAAGAUCUAGCAACAGACUGAUUCUGCUAGGCUAUAUAAUGCAAGAAGACAAUAUAUUAGAUUGCCUCAAAACUGACCACUACAAAUGAGGUUGAGUGUUUGGAAUAAGGUUAUCUUAUCUGAAAUAUCUUACGAAUCCGAGGUAUCCAUAAGAGUUUAGCAAUGAAAAGAUAUCCUGAUUAGCUCUCCUAAUCCCAGGUAUCCAUAAGAGUUUAGCAAUGAAAAGAUAUCCUGAUUAGCUCUCCUAAGGGCUGUAACAGAAGAAUCCCUCAUCUGAGAACUACUACAGAUCUAUUUUCAGUAAGGAAUUAAAUGAUUAAGUUUCCUUUCCUAAUAACAUCUUAAUCUAAGAUCUAUGAAUAGGAAAUAGGAGCAAAUCUGAAAUGCACUUAAGUGGAGGCUUCUUUGAAGGGGUAAACUGCAGUUUUAGUCCUUGAAAGAUAACCUCAUUACGACUUUGAAUCUCCAUGUUAUUAUGUUCAGACAUAACCUUUAAUAUUUUGACACAUGGGCCAAUUUUGACAUUUACUAAUGCAAUUAGCUACAUUGAACAAAAAUUAAUGAAUCUAGUGGCUUCCACCACCUUCUUCCUCCUCUUCUGCUAAACCAGCAUCAAUCCCCAUUCUGAGUGUAGUAGUGGAAGAAUAGUUUUAGUGCACGAAAUAUAACCUCGUUACGGCUUUGAGUCUACAUGCUAUUAUGAUCUCCACGUAACAUUUACUUUUUUGACAAAUCGGCCAAUUUUGACAUUUACUAAUGCAGUUAACAAAAUUGAACAAAGAUUAAUGACAUUAGGCUUCCACAACCUUCUGCCUGCUCUUCUGCUAAACCAGAACCAAUCCCCCGUACUGCUACUGCUGCUCUUGUUGCUACUUACCCAAAAAAAAGUACAUCAACUUCUUGUAAAAUGUAGAGAUAGAUGUUUACUGGUGAAGUGCAAUUUAUGCUCAUAUAAAUGACAAGCACCGAAGGGGAGCCUUGGCGUAACUGGUAAAGUUGUUGCCAUGUGACUAGGAGGUCAUGGGUUCGAGCUGUGGAAACAGCCUCUUGUAGAAAUGCAGGGUAAGACUCCGUAUGAUAGACCCUUGUGGUCCGGCCCUUCCCCGAACCCUGCGCAUAGUGGGAGCUUAGUGCACCGCGCUGCCCUUUUUAUAAAUGACAAGCACCGACAAAAGUAGAACUGAACAGAACAGUAGUUAGCACCAGUUGCCUCAAUUACCUACGGGCGACAAAUCACUUAGUUUGCAAGGUCUACAAUGGGAAGCUGCUGUGCUAAAGCAAGAGGAAAGAACAGAGGGGGGAAUACUAAAAAGGAAAAGGAAAAGAAAACAGGAAGAGAGAGAGAGAGAGAGAGAGAGAGAGAGAGAGAGAGAGAGAAUAGAUACAACGUAACGAAACUAAAUUAAAAUUUAAGUCCUCGCCAAUUGUCGAAGAUUACCAAGUUUUAUUGGACUUGCAGAAUUAUUAUUUUUUGAUUAAGCAAACAGGUAUCCCACCAAUUGUCGAAGAUUACCUUGUUUUUUUUAAUUAAGUAAACAGGUAUCCAUGCUUGCUUUAGGCUUUAACCAUAACCUAGAUAUGUUUUAUAGAUGUUAUAUGCUUUGCAUACAAGUGCUCAUGAUUUUUUGAAGCCUAUAUAUUAUUUUCGUUCAAGCUAAUGAAUCCAGUACCACUGAUCCUUAAUCUUUAAAUGAAUGUUAGAUUAGAAAUAAAAACUUACAGCUUGUUUGGAUGGUUGCUACCCAUUGUAUCGUAUUAUAUUGUUAUCCCUAAACAAUGUUUGUUUUGAUUGUUUAAUUAAAAUUGAUUGUAUUGUAUUGUUAAAUCUAUUGUUCCGAAACAAUGAAAAGUCCCAUUUUUUGAAACAACCGAUUUGGUAUGGUGGGAUUGUUUUCUAUUUUUCUUUCCAAUUAUGCCCUAACUUAUUACCUUAUAAUUCUAUUUUACCCUUUAUUUUUUUUAUUUUAACUCCAACCUAUAACCUACGUUUCGUCUCUCUUUUUUCCUUCUGCCGCUUCCAACUCCAACGUUAUGUAUAGGUUUUGCCUUCCUUUUGUUUCAUUCUUUCUUCUACUUUGAUUUUAAUUCCACUUCUAAUUACUUUAUCUCCAAUUAGUUGUAUAAUAUUGGUUGUUUUCAAGUGUGCAAAGUGUACUUAUUAUUGUUUUUAAUAUUAUUAACUUGUUCCACUAAUUUCAAUAAAAUUUGCAUGAAUUUAAUUGCUUAAUUUAUAUAUAAGACAUAAUUGGUGAUAAAUUAGUAGAAAGGGGUUUCUUAAAUUAUUUUUAUGCGUAAUUCUUGAUAAAUUAAAUAUUUAAACAAUUGAGGGUAUUUUAGUAAACAUAUCAGGUACAGUACGAUACAGUCAAACCAAAUAGCAAAAUGUUAUUAACAACAGCAAACAAUACAAUCUAACCAAACAUUGUAUUCAUAAAACGAUACAAUACAAUACGAUACAUUAUAAAAUGAUGGGUAACAAUAAUCCAAACAGAGUGUUAGUCGUUAAUGAAGAUAUAGGAGACCUGUGAUGAAUAAGUGCGGCGCUCUAGCUAAGCAACAAUGUCGUGUGAUUCGUCUUAUACGUUUUCAGCUCACUAGUAUUGUCGUAGAUGAUAUUGACUUCACUUUUUAUUAUUGAUUUUGGAUUCACUAUUUUACAACCUAUGACAAAUUAGAUGAACCAUGCAUAGUCUCACAUUCCAAUUCAUACGACCAUCGUGGAAUAAAUAGCACAAUGAAUCAGCUAAUAACGAGCGAAAAUAAUAGAAAUAACAGGGCUUAUGUUCUAAGGACAUAUUGAACAGUUAUUAAGGGUUUAAAUGAUAAGAUUAUCAUUGUUUUGCCUUUAAGAUAAUAAAUUACCACUUAAGAGGUUGUGUUUGUAUCAUCAUGGAACUAGAUACUUAUUAAGAAAUUCUUCCAGAAGAUCGUAAAUUUAAGUUCUAAAUACCAAAAUAGACUUUUCUUCAUUUGUUUUCUAGGCAAAUGGACAUUCUCAAUAUAAAAAUAGAGUCUCUUUCAUAUAACAUAUACCCCUAUAACCAAUUUUAAACUAUGGAUAUGCUUGUAUAAAUUUACAGAACUAUUGCGUUUGAAAUCCGACGUUAUUAUUCAGUUCUCUGCCUAAAAAAUUUCACUUUAUCAAAUAGAGACAUGUUACUUUUAGUACUACUUUGCCUCUGGGAAUAUUUGAAACACAAUAUUCUAAUGCCAUGGUAUUCCUUGCUUAUUGACAUGAGAUUUGUUCAGCCGAAUUUGCCAAGGGCAUUGACGCGUAAAAUAUGAAAGGGUUUGUUAAACUAUCAAUCACAGUCUCCGGUGUGUGGUUGCUGGGGAGCUAUUUGCACUUGGAUUGACGUUACAUGGACUCGUUCACAGAUACGUAUUACUCCCGUUGUUCCAUUUUAUAUGAAUCUUUUUUCUUUUUAGCCCGUUCCAAGAAGAUUGGCACAUCUAUAUUUUGGAAACUAUAUACUUCUAACUUUCCUAUUUUACCUUUAAUAAAAUACUCUUAUAGAAAUGACAAGGCAUCUAUAUACAUUUAACUUAUGUCACAAAAGUCUUCCUAUCUUUUUAAACCUCGUGUCUAGUCAAAUGAAGUGUGUUAGUAUCCACUAUGAGUUCGUGAAGUAUUUUGCUAAUUUUUAGGGUAUUAUAAUUACCCCCAUGAGACCCACACCCGUGUCAUACUCCUGAGGUGUCCUUUUUCCUAUAAAUAAAUAAGUUAUUUUAGAAGACAAAUACCCCUAAAUGGGUUCACUUGUUUUCAAGAAAUGUGCAAAAACCUAUUGUAGUUGACAUUGCUGAAGUGUUGGCCCAGCGGUUAAGGGGGUGCAAAAGUGACCUUUGCUUACAUGUUCAAUCCUUGCACACAACAUUUCCCACUCUUUGUAUUGCAUUCUAACUUACAAAGUUCAAACUAUUUCCUUAUCACUUGGUUCGCUUUCUUCUGGUACUAUCAGUUCCCUUGCGUUAUCCUCAUAGGACGCCAAGAGAAGGCUAAAUGCUGACCAAAUUCCUUUUCUGCCAAUAUGGAUCUGAUAUCAGCUAGAAGCCAUAACUUGAUUAUAGGAUAUUACUCUUGUUUGGAGGAUAUGGGGAUAUUGAGUUUGUUAUGGUGCAUAAGGAGAAAGUGUGCCCGCUGAUCUCUGAUGAAAUGAUGAUAGAGAUGUUGCACUGGCUGUAGUCAAUAUCCUUUCUUUUUUCCUUUUUUUAGAUAAGUAAUCAAAGAUUUUAUAAAUGCUUGCACUAAGCCAGUGCUAGAAAACAUAACUACAAAUUGUACAAAAUCAAUAUCCUUUAUUUGAGUGUUAAUUUCGUUAUUUGUUUAUUACAACUCGUACAUUUGCUAUAACAAUGAAACUCCUAAAAGUUUACAUUACAUAUCAAAGAAAGCACAAAAACCUCUAAAAUUGCAUGUACGCACCUACAGGACUAACCUUGAUACCUCAUAUUAUUUUCAUAUAUUAUUUAUUAAUAUUAAAUCACACACAUAUCCAAAGAUAUGAGUUUCUGCGUCUGGUAUAAGAAAGAAGCAAGCCGUCACUGGCAACAUACAACAAAUGCUUUGGUUGUAAUCAGUAUCAUUUACGUGAUGGUUAUCACUAUAUCAGAUUUAUCUUGCGAGCUGAUAGAGAAGAGCAAAUUAUGGGUUAAGACUUGUUUUACUUGGAAGUUUUGGUUGAUUCUCACUCUCAAGGAACCCUGCUCUACAGUACUUUCCUCUUCUGUAGAAGUUAAGUUUUAUGGAUAUGAUGGGACUAAACCUCGUAUACAAUCAAGUAGACAAAAAUUAGAGAAUCUUAAAACUAGUCAAUUCAUGAUGAAUCUUCAUAAUACAUAUACUGACGGUGUUACGAUAAUAUGAAUUGAGCUUAAAUGGAAAAAUGAGGAUUCAUAUAGCCAACCCCAAUCUGUUUGGGAUUGAAGCAGAGUUGUUUUUGUUUUCAAAGACGCACCCAACAAAAAGGGCACCAAAUCAAAAUUAGCACAAGCAAAUAUAUUAAAACCUUUAAAAAAAGCUUUCCUUUUUCUGUUUUAUUAGCCUUUAAAAAUUCACAUAAUCAGAGCUAGACAGCUUGAUAGAUUUUCUCAGUUCAUUGUGCAGAAAAGGAACUGAGCUUUUGCUUUUUGUGCCAUUCUCAGUUAAUUGCACCUGUUUUGUGCCAUUUUUUUAUUAUAAAAUAUUACCUUACUUGAUGAAAGAAAACCUUUGAACAUUCACACAACUGGACAAAUAUAAAUUAGGGAAAGUAAUUAGCAACUAAAGCAGAUCUACUUUUUCAAUUUUGGAAUCAAACAUGUAACGAUGUUGAAGGCUACGAGAAUCAACAAAUUUAGAAGCAAAGUGCGUACCAAUGAUUCAAUGAUAUAAAUUGGACAAGUCCGGAAAGGGAGAAUUUCUGAGAAGAGCGACAAUGAUUUGAGGAGUGGUGAGACCAUUUUUGGAGAACAGGGGAACGCUGCAGCUGUUCAUCGCCUUCCCUGUUUUAGGAAGCUGCGGGUAACAAGGGCACGGCAGAUUUUUAUCCUAGUAGGACUUUGGACAUAAAAAUUG
rnacentral:lncRNA from 1 species